ACCAUCGAUCAAAGUUUAGGCUUUAGCUAACUUCAUAGUGGAGUGCACCCUCCCAGAUGAGGUUGCAGUGAUUGAAGAAGCCGAAUCCUGGGAACAGACCCGUGAUGGCCAACUCGGGUUCAGCUCGAUUGCUUGGGAGUUGUACGUCGACGGGCCAUCCAGCUUCACGAGAUCGGGAAUGGGGUUGAUUCUAUUUGGAUGGGAUGGUCGCCGAAUA
rnacentral:lncRNA from 1 species